rnacentral:rRNA from 1 species
CCUACGGUGGGGCAGCAGUGGGGAAUAUUGGACAAUGGGGGGAACCCUGAUCCAGCCAUGCCGCGUGUGUGAAGAAGGCCCUCGGGUUGUAAAGCACUUUCAGUGAGGAAGAACGCCUGGUGGUUAAUACCCAUCAGGAAAGACAUCACUCACAGAAGAAGCACCGGCUAACUCCGUGCCAGCAGCCGCGGUAAUACGGAGGGUGCGAGCGUUAAUCGGAAUUACUGGGCGUAAAGCGCGCGUAGGUGGCUUGAUAAGCCGGUUGUGAAAGCCCCGGGCUCAACCUGGGAACGGCAUCCGGAACUGUCAAGCUAGAGUGCAGGAGAGGAAGGUAGAAUUCCCGGUGUAGCGGUGAAAUGCGUAGAGAUCGGGAGGAAUACCAGUGGCGAAGGCGGCCUUCUGGACUGACACUGACACUGAGGUGCGAAAGCGUGGGUAGCAAACAGGAUUAGAUACCCCUGUAGUC